AAGAACAGUAUUGCUCCAUGCCUGGCAGCUGCCUGGAGGGUGGGGCGUCUGUCUCCUUUGCUGGGGGAGAUAACAGCAUGACAUUAGCACCAGUGAGUGCCACCAGCUGCUCAUGUGGGCUUGCCUGCUUCUCUCUGCAGCUCUUGUGGCUGCAUCUUGUUUUCUGUAGUCCCAUGAGCUCCGAUGAGCAGGAAGGACCUCUUUGAUCUGUGAGGACUGGGGAGCAGGCUAAGUUCCCUGGGCACCCAUGUCCCGAGCACACUUGUAAGAGGCUGGACUUGGUCUUGGUCUUGGGGAGUAAGGCUUUGGAUCAUUCAGAAUGAGGCAGCAUUUGACAUCAAAGUGGUCACCUCCACAGCCGGUUUGUCCUGCUUAAUACUCAGAAGGAAGCAGAGGGACCAUCAGCCACCCGCAGAGAGCCUAUGGUCUACCUCCUAUGAAAGAAUGCACGAGCAGGUGAGGAGUCCUGACGAGAGUUCAGCGAGACAACUGGAGUCCAGAAGAUCUGGGGUCCAUAUCAGUGGCCUGGGCUGAGUUGGGAGACCUGGAAGAACUAAGGAGGAGACAAGGAACAUCAGUACACCACCUCUCACACUAGAGAUGCUCCACCUCCAACAUACUCAGCUGACUCUGCUGACUCCCUGGAUCUUCCUGAGCUGAUCCAGCCAGCUAAAGCACUUCCAUGUUCUCUGGGGUCUCAUUUUACC
rnacentral:lncRNA from 1 species